UGAUGGACAUUGGGUUGCUUCGAGAU
rnacentral:piRNA from 1 species